rnacentral:rRNA from 1 species
GACGUAGGGCGCGAGCGUUGUCCGGAUUUAUUGGGCGUAAAGAGCUCGUAGGCGGCUUGUUGCGUCGGCUGUGAAAACCCGCGGCUUAACCGUGGGCUUGCAGCUGAUACGGGCAGGCUAGAGUUCGGUAGGGGAGACUGGAAUUCCUGGUGUAGCGGUGAAAUGCGCAGAUAUCAGGAGGAACACCGGUGGCGAAGGCGGGUCUCUGGGCAGUAACUGACGCUGAGGAGCGAAAGCGUGGGGAGCGAACAGG